rnacentral:rRNA from 1 species
AGUGAACGCUGGCGGCAGGCCUAACACAUGCAAGUCGAGCGGCAGCGCGUCCGACCACCCUCGGGUGGUCGGAUGGCGGCGAGCGGCGGACGGGUGAGGAAUGCAUCGGAAUCUGCCUCGUUGUGGGGGGAUAACGUAGGGAAACUUACGCUAAUACCGCAUACGACCUACGGGUGAAAGUGGGGGACCUUCGGGCCUCACGCGAUGAGAUGAGCCGAUGCCGGAUUAGCUAGUUGGCGGGGUAAAGGCCCACCAAGGCGACGAUCCGUAGCUGGUCUGAGAGGAUGAUCAGCCACACUGGGACUGAGACACGGCCCAGACUCCUACGGGAGGCAGCAGUGGGGAAUAUUGGACAAUGGGCGCAAGCCUGAUCCAGCAAUGCCGCGUGUGUGAAGAAGGCCUGCGGGUUGUAAAGCACUUUCAGUGGGGAAGAACAGAUUCGGGUCAAUACCCCGGGGCCCUGACGUUACCCACAGAAGAAGCACCGG